UACGUAGGGUCCAAGCGUUAUCCGGAAUCACUGGGCGUAAAGCGUGCGUAGGCGGUCUGUUAAGUGAGAUGUGAAAUCGUGUGGCUCAACCAUAUCGUUGUGUCUCAUACUGGCAGACUAGAGGAUAGCAGAGGCAAGUGGAAUUACGAGUGUAGCAGUGAAAUGCGUAGAGAUUCGUAGGAACACCAGUGGCGAAGGCGGCUCUUUGGUCUGUAACUGACGCUGAGGCGCGAAAGCGUGGGGAGCGAACAGG
rnacentral:rRNA from 1 species